UACGAGAGGCCCAAACGUUAUUCGGAAUUACUGGGCGUAAAGGGCUCGUAGGCGGCCAACUAAGUCAGACGUGAAAUCCCUCGGCUUAACCGGGGAACUGCGUCUGAUACUGGAUGGCUUGAGGUUGGGAGAGGGAUGCGGAAUUCCAGGUGUAGCGGUGAAAUGCGUAGAUAUCUGGAGGAACACCGGUGGCGAAGGCGGCAUCCUGGACCAAUUCUGACGCUGAGGAGCGAAAGCCAGGGGAGCAAACGGG
rnacentral:rRNA from 1 species